AAUCGCUAGUAAUCGUAGAUCAGCCAUGCUACGGUGAAUACGUUCCCGGGUCUUGUACUCACCGCCCGUCACACCAUGGGAGUUGAUUUCACUCGAAGCCGGAAUACUAAACUAGUUACCGUCCACAGUGGAAUCAGCGACUGGGGUGAAGUCGUAACAAGGUAACCGUAGGAGAACCUGCGGUUGGAUCACCUCCUUU
rnacentral:rRNA from 1 species